rnacentral:rRNA from 1 species
ACUACGGGUGGCAGCAGUGAGGAAUAUUGGUCAAUGGGCGAGAGCCUGAACCAGCCAAGUCGCGUGAGGGAAGACGGUCCUAUGGAUUGUAAACCUCUUUUGCCGGGGAGCAAAAAGCGGUACGCGUACAGCAUCGAGAGUACCCGGAGAAAAAGCAUCGGCUAACUCCGUGCCAGCAGCCGCGGUAAUACGGAGGAUGCGAGCGUUAUCCGGAUUUAUUGGGUUUAAAGGGUGCGCAGGCGGGGAGUAAAGUCAGAGGGAAAAUUUUGGGGCUAAACCCAGAAAAGCCGUUGAAACUGGGUGGCUAGAGUGGGCUAGAAGUAUGCGGAAUGCGUGGUGGAGCGGUGAAAUGCAUAG